rnacentral:rRNA from 1 species
UUUAGCAGCGUUUAGCCUGGUGUCCCACUGAAGAUAAGCAGGGCUGAGUCUGGUCAGUACCUGGAUGGGAGACCUCCUGGGGAAACUAAGGUUGCUGCUGGAA